GGCCUCCCUCUGUGGGGUGAUCGAUCUGGGGGCCCCGCAAUCGAUUGCCCCACAGAGGGAGGCC
rfam:Myotis lucifugus cont2.16235, whole genome shotgun sequence.